UGUAUAAUAGCAGCAGGCCAUAAAAGAGACCCAGUUUGUGAAUAUUUUAAUGAAGUGCCUCUACCUGUGGGUAAGACAGGCAUGCAUGCAAAAUGCAAACAGUGCAACAAAGAAAUGCAAGUUCUGGCUGCCCGAAUGAAACAAUAUCAUGAGAAGUGUUCCUUCUCAGGAGGAAGCUGCGUUGUAAAUGAUGAAAGGAACAUGUCUGAAUAUGCAGGAACUUCAGGAGAAUCCAUCCUCAACAUACAGGAUUCUGAAGCCUAUCCAGCUUCAAGAUCACCAUAAUUUUCUAUAGUUUCAGAGUUAUCUGCCAGUGAUAGUGUUUCAGUCACAUCAUGUUUGUCACAUAGCCAUAGUAUAUAACCUGUAGCAAAAAGAAAAAAAAAAUCUCCAUCAUCCAGAAACCAUCAUAGAUAAGUUUGUGAUAAGAACCAGCAGAUUACAAAA